rnacentral:rRNA from 1 species
UAGGGAAUAUUGGACAAUGGGCGCAAGCCUGAUCCAGCCAUGCCGCGUGAGUGAUGACGGCCUUAGGGUUGUAAAGCUCUUUCGCUCGGGACGAUAAUGACGGUACCGAGAUAAGAAGCCCCGGCUAACUUCGUGCCAGCAGCCGCGGUAAUACGAAGGAGGCUAGCGUUGCUCGGAAUCACUGGGCGUAAAGCGCACGUAGGCGGAUUGUUAAGUCAGGGGUGAAAUCCUGGAGCUCAACUCCAGAACUGCCUUUGAUACUGACGGUCUUGAGUCCGGGAGAGGUGAGUGGAACUGCGAGUGUAGAGGUGAAAUUCGUAGAUAUUCGCAAGAACACCAGUGGCGAAGGCGGCUCACUGGCCCGGUACUGACGCUGAGGUGCGAAAGCGUGGGGAGCAAACAGGAUUAGAUACCCUGGUAGUCCACGCCGUAAACGAUGGAUGCUAGCCGUUGGCGGGUUUACCCGUCAGUGGCGCAGCUAACGCAUUAAGCAUCCCGCCUGGGGAGUACGGUCGCAAGAUUA